rnacentral:lncRNA from 1 species
AUGAAGUGGAUGAAUAGCAGACAAUGCCAGCUGAGGCAGGGCAGGAGCAAUGAAACCCAGCUGCCCUUUUGGCAAGAGGAGCUGCUGCCUCUUGGGCCACAGGUAAGAGCUGCAGUUCCUCAGACCCCAGGAGCUGACUAGCUGAGUACAAGUGACACUUAGCAUUUGUGCUGUGAUGAGAUUUUUAAAAAUUAUUGCCCAGGUAUGAAAAAGAAAAGCUAAACAGGAUUAAGAAACAAAGAAGAACUAUUUUGCAGAUGCGGUCUGGUGGCAGUUGUGUGGCCUCAGAUCCCAGGUCUAUAAAUAAGAUCAUUAUAAAUUAUUUCAUUUUCUGUUUAAUCUGACACAUGUUUUCGAGUAUUAAAUUUCAUUAUAGCAAAUUAUUUUCUGACUGUUUUUCUUUUCCUAGUCAUAGAGAUUAAAUUCUGCCCUCU